CUGGUUCAACUUGUGCGAAUUUCGUAUAGUUGCAAGUGAUUAUUGAAUUGGUUUUGUUCAACCUUAUUUUCUGUUUCUUUUGCUGGUGUUUGGUUUUUCCGACUGUGAAAGAACAACUUUCAAAUUUUACAAGUCAUUAUUAUUAUCAUAGCAUAGAUUUAUCUAUUAUCGGGGUAUCGAGACAGAGGGACAUUUUGUCUCCAUAGUCCAUACCCAAAAGAAAACUCAUGUACUCUGGGAUGAGUUUAUGAUCCACCUUGUGUUCAAAUAAUCAAAUUCAUCAUGCAACCUUGAACCCUCCCCCUCAAUUUUAGAGCUUCAAAAUAUUCAAAAUGGCCGCCGCCUGGCGUAUUGGUGAUAGUGGGUAGUGUUGUGACAACGAUCCCGAUGAUAAUUCUUAUUCUCAGGGAUUCGAUAAUAUCUUCAGCUGAAGGCUUCAUGUGAUCUGCGUGCUUGUGACAGCGAUAAAAUGGUCCAAUUCAAGCUGUCUUCCAAAACCAUGGAAAUUCUGUUUGCAAGAACGCCAAUAUGUUCCAUCGGGAUAUUCGGCCACAUCUUCAACAAUCACAGGCUAUUCAAAAUAUCUAUGCAUCACCUAUUUAUGUGCCAGUUCCCGUUUCACUGCCUUCACAAAUCAAUCAACCGCAGCCAGUGGAACGUUAGGAUUCAAAAGAAAGAGUUUCUCAGUUGGAAGAUCUAUAGUGGAUGCUGGAACUACAGAAGAAGAUUCAGGAAUUGGAGUUUAGUUGGCAGGAAGCCAAAGCCAAACAGGCUGUUCCUCCCAGUGGAAUUAAGAGCCAGCAGAGCGUCAACGACAAAGCGAUAUCUGCAGCUAUUUUUCACUGGAGCAAGAAACCAAAUUUUGUGUGUUCCUGAAAAGAAUCCUUCUACCUCAUCUUGUGUCUCUUCUAAAAUUCUGAAUGAAAUCGAUCUUCUGCAAGUCCGAUUGAGCAAUGUGAUCGCCUCAACCGGAGCUGUUGUUGUCAACCGUCGUCGCAUUGGAAAGAUAACCGACAACUAUCAUGAGCCGAUUGGGCGUGGAAAAUUCGGUCAAGUCUUCAAAGGAACUUGGCAUGGAUGUCAAGUAGCCGUCAAAGAAAUCCGCUCUCCUUGGCGUUGCAGCACAGUCGUCGAGGCUCGAUCGUUCGCCAAGAUGAUUCAACGAGAGAUUGAAGCCCUUUCAGCUGUCCAGCACCGCAAUAUUAUUGGACUGCUCGGUCUUUGCAUGGAUAACGAAUCGAGUGAUGGUGAAGCAUCGAUUAGAGUCUCGCUCAUCUUUGAAUUCACCAACGGAGGGACUCUUUUCGACUGACUUUUCGGCGGCCUAGCAAAAAAUAGCAAAUUCAAAUUAGACGUGAAUCAAAUGAUGCUGACCGCUCGCCAUCUCACCGCGAGACUCUCCAUCUACUGCAUUCCACUCAGCAGAAGCCGGGCGGUUCAGUUAUGGUCCACCGUGACGUGAAAUCCGCCAAUGUUUUACUGCAACGGGAUGACGAAGGAAGAGUCGUGCGAGCUGUUUUGGACGAUUUAACGUCUUCAUUUGGAUCUUAACGAAAGUGGCUCCCGCUCUGGCCUAGCAGCCAGUUUCAUGACAGCCGUGGUAGGUACCCACGGCUAUGUCGAUCCUUUGUGUGCGGAGCGUUUAACCUGCAGACGGGUCGGCCAGUUUGCAUGUCCUUCAGGCUUGAAGGUCGCGGGGAAUAUUACGUUAAACUGUUAAUGCGGUGGUGUAGAGGUUGGGUGAGAAUUGGACGUGUUGCAUCAUUAUCAAGCAGACCCAUCCCCAGCAACGUCAACCUAAAGAAGGAAAGGCAAGUUUCCAUUUUCUUCAAUUUCGAAGGUCACGGAGAUACCAUUACGUUAAACUUGUCAUGUGGAGUAGAGGUUGGGUGAGAACGGGAAGUGUUGCACCAUUAUCAAGCAGGAGAAAAAAGGCCAUAGAAAUCAGUCGAGUGAUCAUCUCCGACACUGCAAUAGCAACUGCAGUGCACUAUUGAUCAUCAAUUGAUUCUUCACUGUGUAAUAAGUUCGUAAUCAUGGUUAAUUAUGGCGUUGUGCUGCUGUUGGGUCGACCACGAGUGUACCGAUGUCUCCUGGAUACGGUGGCCCCGAGUUACUUCACCAAAGCGCCUGAGUACUACACUGAGGCUCCCAAGUACUACACCAUCAAAGCUCCAGAGUAUUACACUGCAAUCUACGCUGCCCAAGCUUACACCACCAAGGGACCGGAGUACUGCACCACAACCUACGCUGCCCCAGUUCACUACGCCGCCCUGAGCUACACAACCACAUAUGAGGCAGUCGUUAUUACUGCACAGCGGCUGCUUCUUAGUAACAACCUACGUUACACCUAGAUGCUACACCGAAGCCCCCAAGUACUGCACCGGCAAGGCCGAAUAUUACAUAACCACGUUUGCUGCCCCAGCUACCCUGCUACACCGAGAAACCCAAGUAUUUCUCUGCUCCAAGCAACUAUCGAACAGAGGCUCCUGUUGACUACACCACCCAUGCCCCGGGGUUUUACAGUACAACCUACGCUGCCCCAUCUACACCAUCAAGGCUCCAAAGUACUACGCAACCGAGGCACCCGAGCUACUACUUAGGCUGCUCCGACUUUCUGCACCGAAGCUGCGAAAUAUUCCACUGCCCCGAGUUACUACACCAUCAAGGCUGUUAUAAUGUUACAUCACAACCUACGCUUCUCCAGUUUACUACAUAAUGGUGAAGCCAGAAAUGGAAACAGGACGUAUGCUACACCAGUUUACUACACCGUGGAAUUCAAGUAUUACCCGAACAAAUACCAAACAGAGGCUCCUGUUUACUACACUACCAUCGCCCUCGAGUGUUACACUAAAACCUACGUUGCCCCCAACUACUACACUGUGGCUCCGAAGUGCUACACAUCAAUGCACAACCAA